AAGGUGGGAAAGGUCCAAAAAGCCCUCACGUUAUUGAUGGGACAUUUUGAUUACCUUUUCCUCUCACCCUCCCUUGGUUCAGAUUUAGAAAAGGGUUAACAGAAUGAUACAUUUAAAUUUGAUGGUACAGUUGAAUUUGAUGUCGCCCACGAGCAAAAGCUACUACGGGAACCGAUGGACCAUUCAGGGACGAGGCCAGCAGAACAAUUCUACCUACUCAAAAUGGCUAUUAUGGAAAUCAUCCAACAAUACAUGAAUGGCGUCAAAGGGACAUUUUCUGCACUCUAAAUUUCACCUAUGGCUCGGGGGAAAGCAAUUUGAGAUCUGCCCAAUUGCAUGAUGAUUCAAUGGGAAAUGCUUAAGUGCUAGUGUGCUACCUUCCUAGCUGCUAAUAAGACAGCGGAGAUCUUUCAUUGAGGUGAAAUUGUUCAAUUUUCAUUUCUUUGUCGUGGAAGGAAAUUAGUCAUCUGUCCGUAAAAUAAGAACGCUUAGAAUUCAGCCUUUAUCUUCGUCGGAUAUGGUGUCAGAAAAUGUUAAAAAUUAUGGUUUUAAAGUUUUCUGUAGCAAUUGUGAUAAUAGCUGAUUCAGUUUAAUUAGCAAUUCUUGGAGAUGUGAUAAUUACAAUGAGUAGUUUUCACGUGAUGUUGUGAAGGAUAAAUUAGGAUUUGAUGUUAUCGAUGACUUGUUGAGAGCUCAAUAAAUCACUUGCUCGGAUAUCCG
rnacentral:lncRNA from 1 species